rnacentral:rRNA from 1 species
AUUGAACGCUGGCGGCAUGCCUUACACAUGCAAGUCGAACGGUAGAGGGGGCAACCUCCCGAGAGUGGCGAACGGGUGAGUAAAGCAUCGGAACGUGCCCAGUAGUGGGGGAUAGCUCGGCGAAAGCCGGAUUAAUACCGCAUGAGACCUACGGGUGAAAGGGGGGGAUCGCAAGACCUCUCGCUAUUGGAGCGGCCGAUGUCAGAUUAGGUAGUUGGUGGGGUAAAGGCCUACCAAGCCGACGAUCUGUAGCUGGUCUGAGAGGACGACCAGCCACACUGGGACUGAGACACGGCCCAGACUCAUACGGGAGGCAGCAGUGGGGAAUUUUGGACAAUGGGCGAAAGCCUGAUCCAGCCAUGCCGCGUGCGGGAAGAAGGCCUUCGGGUUGUAAACCGCUUUUGUCAGGGAAGAAAUCCUUUGAGUUAAUACCUCGGGGGGAUGACGGUACCUGAAGAAUAAGCACCGGCUAACUACGUGCCAGCCGCCGCGGUAAAAC